GGAGUUGUAGCUUAGUGGUAGAGUGCUCACCUAGCACGUGUGAGGCACUGGGUUAAAUUCUCAGUACCA
rnacentral:tRNA from 1 species